rnacentral:lncRNA from 10 species
GAUUAUCUCAUCUUCAUCCUGUAAUUCCAGUGUUUGUCACGUGGUUGUUGAAUAAAUGAAUAAAGAAUGAGAAAACCAGAAGCUCUGAUACAUAAUCAUAAUGAUAAUUAUUUCAAUGCACAACUACGGGUGGUGCUGAACUAGAAUCUAUAUUUUCUGAAACUGGCUCCUCUAGGAUCUACUAAUGAUUUAAAUCUAAAAGAUGAAGUUAGUAAAGCAUCAGAAAAAAAAGGGGGUAUUCCUACAAGUCAGGACAUUCUACGUGACUACAAUAUAAUCUCACAGAAAUUUAACAUUAAUACAUUCUAAGAUUUAAUUCUUAGAUUCUUGGUAAGUAAACAAAUUGCUCCUGUGGAGAUGAUUGGCAUCACAUGGUGUUUUGAGCUGAUACACCCAACACUUGAGCUCACUGCAACAGUACCAGG